AGUGCCCCUGUGGCUCAGAGAGGGUGCUGUUGAGCUCCCCAAGCUGGCCUGCUGCCUGCACCCCCAGGUCCAAAGUCUCGGGCGGUUGGGCAUUGGUUGUUGGGGUGACUGCCUUCCCGCUGGGCUGAGAGGAGUCUGAACCUGGGCAGCCAGGCAGCCGGGAAGCCGGGAAGCUCGGUUCCAGAAUGGCUCAGUGGAAUCAAGUCCAACAGUUAGAAAUCAAGUUUUUGGAACAAGUAGAUCAAUUCUACGAUGACAACUUUCCGAUGGAAAUACGACACCUGCUGGCCCAGUGGAUUGAAAGCCAAGACUGGGAGGCAGCUUCUAACAACGAAACCAUGGCAACCAUUCUUCUUCAAAACUUGUUGAUACAACUGGAUGAACAGUUGGGUCGUGUUUCCAAGGAGAAAAACCUGCUCUUAAUACACAAUCUGAAAAGAAUUAGGAAAGUCC